rnacentral:misc_RNA from 1 species
GUGAAUCAUCGAAUUUUUGAACGCAAAUUGCGCUUCCUGGCAUCCCGGGAAGUAUGCCUGUUUGAGGGUCAGUAUUAUUAAAAAAUCGGUUUAGUUACAAAUUGUGACUUUUCCGGCGGUUGUGCUAUCUUAACCUUUUUGGUUAAGAGGCUAAAAAUUGACCUUUUUUUCGCAUGUUUAUACGUACAUAACUUUUUCUUAUUCUUCUAUUCUUAAUGCUA